UACGUAGGGGGCUAGCGUUGUCCGGAAUCAUUGGGCGUAAAGGGCUCGUAGGCGGUCCGUCACGUCGGGAGUGAAAACUCAGGGCUCAACCCUGAGCGUGCUUCCGAUACGGGCGGACUAGAGGUAUGCAGGGGAGAACGGAAUUCCUGGUGUAGCGGUGGAAUGCGCAGAUAUCAGGAGGAACACCUAUGGCGAAGGCAGCUCGCUGGGACGGUACUGACGCUGAGACGCGAAAGCGUGGGGAGCGAACAGG
rnacentral:rRNA from 1 species